rnacentral:rRNA from 1 species
ACGAACGCUGGCGGCAUGCCUAACCCCUGCAAGUCGCACGAGACCUUCGGGUCUAGUGGCGCACGGGUGCGUAACGCGUGGGAACCUGCCCUUAGGUUCGGAAUAACUCCCCGAAAGGGGUGCUAAUACCGGAUAAUGUCUUCGGACCAAAGAUUUAUCGCCUUUGGAUGGGCCCGCGUUGGAUUAGCUAGUUGGUAGGGUAAAAGCCUACCAAGGCGACGAUCCAUAGCUGGUCUGAGAGGAUGAUCAGCCACACUGGGACUGAGACACGGCCCAGACUCCUACGGGAGGCAGCAGUGGGGAAUAUUGGACAAUGGGCGAAAGCCUGAUCCAGCAAUGCCGCGUGAGUGAUGAAGGCCUUAGGGUUGUAAAGCUCUUUUACCCGGGAUGAUAAUGACAGUACCGGGAGAAUAAGCGCCGGCUAACUCCGUG